CCUACGGGCGGCAGCAGUGAGGAAUAUUGGUCAAUGGACGAGAGUCUGAACCAGCCAAGUAGCGUGAAGGAUGACUGCCCUAUGGGUUGUAAACUUCUUUUAUAUGGGAAUAAAAUGUUCCACGUGUGGGAUUUUGUCUGUACCAUAUGAAUAAGGAUCGGCUAACUCCGUGCCAGCAGCCGCGGUAAUACGGAGGAUACGAGCGUUAUCCGGAUUUAUUGGGUUUAAAGGGAGCGUAGGUGGAUUGUUAAGUCAGUUGUGAAAGUUUGCGGCUCAACCGUAAAAUUGCAGUUGAAACUGGCAGUCUUGAGUACAGUAGAGGUGGGCGGAAUUCGUGGUGUAGCGGUGAAAUGCUUAGAUAUCACGAAGAACUCCGAUUGCGAAGGCAGUUCACUGGACUGCAACUGACACUGAGGCUCGAAAGUGUGGGUAUCAAACAGGAUUAGAUACCCCUGUAGUC
rnacentral:rRNA from 1 species